rnacentral:rRNA from 1 species
UACGUAGGGUGCAAGCGUUGUCCGGAAUUAUUGGGCGUAAAGAGCUCGUAGGCGGUCUGUCGCGUCGGCUGUGAAAUCCCGGAGCUCAACUCCGGGUCUGCAGUCGAUACGGGCAAACUGGAGUACUGCAGGGGAGACUGGAAUUCCUGGUGUAGCGGUGAAAUGCGCAGAUAUCGUCUGGAACGCCGAAGGUGAAAACAGCUCGCUGGGGCUGCGCUGACGCUGAGACACGAAAGCCAGGGGGAGCGAACGGGG